rnacentral:rRNA from 1 species
UGGUACCUACGGGGCGCAGCAGUGAGGAAUAUUGGUCAAUGGGAGAGAUCCUGAACCAGCCACGCCGCGUGAGGGAAGACGGCCCUAUGGGUUGUAAACCUCUUUUGUCGGAGAACAAAACCUGGGACGAGUCCCGGACUGCGUGUAUCCGAAGAAAAAGCAUCGGCUAACUCCGUGCCAGCAGCCGCGGUAAUACGGAGGAUGCGAGCGUUAUCCGGAUUUAUUGGGUUUAAAGGGGGCGUAGGCGGUCCGUUAAGUCAGCGGUAAAAUUGCGGGGCGCAACCC